rnacentral:rRNA from 1 species
GACGAACGCUGGCGGCGUGCUUAACACAUGCAAGUCACGGGGGCUCGCAAGAGCAACCGGCGAACGGGUGCGUAACACGUGAGCAAUCUGCCGAUUUCUGGGGGAUAGCCGGCCCAACGG